AUGUUUGAGGAGAUGAAAAAGAAGUUUCAGAAGUAUUGGACAGAUAUCCAUGGUCUGAUGGCUAUUGCCACUGUUCUUGACCCAAGGUACAAACUCCAUAUGGUGCAGGCUUUGUAUGGUCCUCUUUAUGGACCUGAGGCUGCAAUUCAAGAGGUUGCGCGCGUGAAGCAAUUGCUCUGUGAACUGUUGGUUCAAUACCAAGAUGCCUCUUCUGCGGGAACAUCAAAUGUUGCUAGUGCUACACAGCCCACUGCUUCAGCUUCACAGGAAGAAGUUUUUGACAUAUUUGAACAGUACAUGUCUUCACAACCUACUGCUUCAUCUUUGUUGGUUCAUACAGAGCUUGCCAUGUAUUUAGAAGAGCCAACCUUGCCAAGAACACAGAUUUUUGAUAUCAUCAAUUGGUGGAAGUUUGGGGGGAUAAAAUAUCCAACUCUACAGCUUAUUGCUCAUGAAAUCUUGCCUAUUUCGGUCACAAUGGUAGCAACAGAAUUUGCAUUCUCUACAAGUGGUAGAAUCCUUAGCCCUCGUCGUAGUAGGCUCGCACCAAAGAUCGUUGAAGCUAUAAUGUGUAUGCAGGCUUGGUCUAAUGCUGACAUGCUAGGUAAGACAACUCAAAUGUUGUUCUUUUGCUCCUAUUCUACUUCUAUUUUGUUGUUGCUACACUAUUUUUUUCUUGCUUAG
rnacentral:rRNA from 1 species